UGUAGGUAAAAAGAAUCUCUUCUAUUUUACACAUUUACGUUGGUCUUGGCACUAAGCGAAUGUCGGAAUGCGACAUCCUGGAAGAAACAUGGUAAGACAAAAGACAUUGGCAAUUGGAAGCAACAGGAGAGCAGCGUGAGAGGAGAACCGGAGACCGGAGCUACGAACGAUACAUAACCUAAGAAUAGAGGUAGAAGCUUACUUUGUCCAUAGCUGGUGUGACAACACGCGAGUAUAAGCGGGCUGAGUAAAAAUAGCCGGAAGCUGUGCAUUCUUC